rnacentral:rRNA from 1 species
AGAGUUUGAUCAUGGCUCAGAACGAACGCUGGCGGCGUGCCUAACACAUGCAAGUCGAACGCGAAAGGGGGCAACCCCCGGUAGCGUGGCAGACGGGUGAGUAACACGUGGGUAACCUACCCGGAGGUGGGGGAUAACCCUUCGAAAGGAGGGCUAAUACCGCAUAACAUCGAGGAGACCUCGGUCUUCGCGAUCAAAGCUGGCCUCUGUUUACAAGCUAGCGCCACCGGAGGGGCCCGCGCCCCAUUAGCUAGUUGGUGAGGUAACGGCUCACCAAGGCGACGAUGGGUAGCCGGCCUGAGAGGGCGACCGGCCACACUGGAACUGCGACACGGUCCAGACUCCUACGGGAGGCAGCAGUGAGGAAUCUUGCGCAAUGGGCGAAAGCCUGACGCAGCGACGCCGCGUGGAGGAUGAAGGUCUUCGGAUUGUAAACUCCUGUCGAGUGGGACGAAUGCCGUGAGGGUGAACAAUCCUUACGGUUGACGGUACCGUUGAAGAAGCCCCGGCUAACUCGUGCCAGCAGCCGCGGUA